rnacentral:lncRNA from 1 species
AUCCCAAAAGGACCAGCACGACUCCGAGUUCUUCAAUCUCGCCAUGAUUUUCCAGUUGCGGGACAUUAUAGAUUCAAUAAGACCUUGGAGCUUAUUUCUCAAGAUUUUUGGUGGCUCCAAAUGUAGAAGGAUGUGAAAGAUUUUGUCCUCUCCUGCGACAUCUGUUCAAGAUCCAAGAAUCCUUGGUAUCUCCCUUAUGGACUCCUAUAGCCAUUACCGAUUCCACGUCGACCAUGGUCUUC